rnacentral:rRNA from 1 species
GACGAACGCUGGCGGCGCGCCUAACACAUGCAAGUCGAACGGAGCUGAGAGGAGCUUGCUUUUCUUAGCUUAGUGGCGAACGGGUGAGUAACGCGUGAGUAACCUGCCCUGGAGUGGGGGACAACAGUUGGAAACGACUGCUAAUACCGCAUAAGCCCACGGCCCGGCAUCGGGCUGAGGGAAAAGGAUUUAUUCGCUUCAGGAUGGACUCGCGUCCAAUUAGCUAGUUGGUGAGGUAACGGCCCACCAAGGCGACGAUUGGUAGCCGGACUGAGAGGUUGAACGGCCACAUUGGGACUGAGACACGGCCCAGACUCCUACGGGAGGCAGCAGUGGGGGAUAUUGCACAAUGGGGGAAACCCUGAUGCAGCGACGCCGCGUGGAGGAAGAAGGUUUUCGGAUUGUAAACUCCUGUCGUUAGGGA